GCUAGAGAAGCUGAGGCUCCCACACAAAGAAAAAGAGAGAAAGGUCACCCAGGACUGGCAGUUCACAGAUUUUCCAAUUGAAAGAAACCAUAUUUGUCUCAUCCUUACCUGGAACCGAUUGGAAUAUCAAGAUUCUACACCUCAAGCCUGAGCCUAAUCCCAGAAUGGGCUGAGACACUGAGACAUCUUGGGAAGGUGGAAGUAUAUUCUCCAGUUGUUAAGAACGUGGAUUAUGGUGAGUAUACUAGAUGAAGAGAGGGCAAUUAGGAACCAUUACAAUGCUCCAGUAAAAAGUAUGUAUUAUUACCUACAUUAGGAAAAUGUCAGUUGACCUACAGAGAAGUGGAGAGAUUCAAGAUAUAUAUACAAGGUAGAAUGGGCAAGUUUUGAAGGCUGAUUGGAUGUCAGGGUUGAGAGAAAGGCAACAUUUUUGAACGAUGCAACUUUAAAGUUUAUAUCUUACACAACUGAGUGGAUAGUGAUCCCAAUUCACUAUAAAACAUGGGCAAAACAGGAGGUUCAUUGCGGAGAAUGAGAGUUCACUUUUAGACACUGAAUUUAAGGUGCUUAUGGAGCAUUCAAACAGAAAUAUCCAGAGUAUGGUUACAUAUACUGGUUUAAAGCUCAGGAGAGAUCUGAGUGAAAGAUACAAAUUUUAGGCUAUCUGUAAUAACUAAAACAAUGAAAAUGGAUGAUAGAGGCUAGUGGUAAUGUGUAGCAUGCUAAAAGAAUAAAGCCUAGAGUUGAAUCCUGAUAAACACCAGAACUUAAGAGUAACGCAGAGAAAUAGAAGGCAACAGAGAAUAAAAAUAAGCAGUCACAAAGUAAGUGCAAAGUUGUAAGACUGCAGUGACAGGAAAGGUAAAAGUGUUCUGUGAAAGCAAAAGUGGUAAGCUCUGCUUGCUCCCUGAGAAGCAGGAGGAGAUAUGAAUUAGGACAAGGCUAGAGGAACAGAACUAACUAGGAGGAGAAAUAAUUGUCCAUGGUAGUAAGAGGUAUGAGAGAGUUAUGGGUAAAUUUAUCUGAUACUUUCAACUUUCCCCCUUCAACAAGUAUUAAAGUAAAUAGAAAUGGAAACCAGGACUGAAAAACUCCUGAGCAAUCAAAUCUAGUCAGGCCUCUUAAGCGACUUUAACCUUGCUCAAUAUGCAAACAUAAGUGAAACUUAACUUGAGCUAUUUAUUGUGAAUGCAUACAUUAAAGAAAAACAGAAAUUAAGCUCAAUCAAUUGGAAGCAGCCAACAGACUUAUAAUUAUAUAACUCAGGACUAUCCAAUAGUAUAUACCAAAUAAGGCAACUGUAUAGCUAUAGCCAAUCAAGUAUCUUCUUUGCUUUACUUCUGUGUUCAUUUCAUAAAAACCUCCCUCUUGCAUUUUCCUGGUGGAUCUCCUGAACCACUUCUUGUCUGGAACUUCCCAAUUCAUGAAUCAUUGUUUGCUCAAAUAAACUCUAUAAAAAAAAUUACUGUGCCUCAGUUUACCUUUUUAACAAGGGG
rnacentral:lncRNA from 10 species